AUUGAACGCUGGCGGCAGGCUUAACACAUGCACGUCGAACGAGUGGCGGACGGGUGAGUAAUGCUUGGGAAUCUAGCUUAUGGAGGGGGAUAACUACGGGAAACUGUAGCUAAUACCGCGUACCAUAGGAUGAGCCCAAGUGGGAUUAGGUAGUUGGUGAGGUAAAGGCUCACCAGGCCGACGAUCUCUCGCUGGUCUGAGAGGAUGACAAGCAACCGUGGGACUGAGACACGGCCCAGACUCCUACGGGAGGCAGCAGUGGGGAAUACUGCGCAAUGGGGGCAACCUGACGCAGCCAUGCCGCGUGAAUGAAGAAGGCCUUCGGGUUGUAAAGUUCUUUCGGUAGCGAGGCGUUAACUACAGAAGAAGCACCGGCUAACUCCGUGCCAGCCGACGCGGUAAUUC
rnacentral:rRNA from 1 species